UUUAGAUGAUAGUCGCUUUGGCACAAACCCCAAACUUCUUUAAUGUCUCAAUGUAGCUUCCCUAGAGGCACCAAUGUAACCCUAGAGAGCAUUUUGCUCAGAAUGCUCUGUGUCCCGCUGACCACAGCCUGCCUCGUUCCUUUCCAUCCUGGUCUUGGUGCUCCCUACUGAGUGUACAGACAACGUGCUGCCUUUUGGGCAGGGCAGAAAGCUGAGCUAUCCUCCACCAUUUCAGGUUUUAGCGUGGCUGUGAGAUGAAUCUGAUCCAGCAUCUGGCCAAACUCAGGGACCAACGCACUGAUCGGCUGUUCCCUAUGACUGCAGUGUGUCAGCACUCAAGCUGGGAAAGCUUGAGGGCACGUGUUUCCUAUCCCUCUGCCUAUGGACCUAAGAGCAGAGACUGAUAGGGAUCGAUAUUCAGAAAGGAGCGCAGUUUGGCAGAGGAUGCCAAAGGAGCCUGCUGAGCGUGGCCACAGAUGAUCCCAGCUGAGCGUGGCCACUCACAAACUGAAGAGAACCUCUGUGCUGUGUCAUCAAUUGGAGCUGCAAUAAAUGGGAGUGUAUCUCUAAACCUGAUGGCUGCAGAAUGGGAGGCUUGCAAAUGAGUCCAACACGCGCCAUUAGACCUGGGAAGUCAGGACAAACCACAGAGAAGCUAUGAUGUGUGCAGACAUGCGUGCAGCAAUUUUACAACAGAUAGAGUCGAUCCACCCCGAAGAUGAUGUAUGAUGUGGUUGUGUUCUCUGCCUUGGCGUGUACCAGUCUUCUUCCCUCUGUGCAGAGGUGUGACCUGUGCAGAGGUCAGCAGGGACUGCAGCGUUUUCCAUGCCCUCCUGGUGCUGUGGCCUCCUUGGGCUUCAUGCUGGGGAUUCCUGUUCAAAGGCUGAUGGGCAACUUGAGUGAUGCUGAGAUCAUUUUCUGGAAUAAUUUUCACAGUGACUAAAAUACUCUCUCGAAAGUCAUAUUCUUUUCUGAGAUUUGUCUUGGAUUACUGCAGCGACACGCAAUAUAUUAAAAGGAUUUGCUUCUUAUUGUGAUUGGCUUCCACCUUGGCCAACACAGCAGGUUUUGAGCUCAGUUCCCCAGAAUUAACAGCACUGUGCUGCUACUGUUUUGUGAGCUCCAGGCUCCAGCAAGCCACUGUUCUCUGGUUCAGCACAGAGGGGUCCUGGAACAAAUUUCCCUUCCCCCUCCUCCUUCCCCUAAGGUUUGUUCCUUGCAUUCUUCUGUGUGUUUCCUCAUGGAAAGGCGUUUCACUGUGAUGUUUGGGUUUGUUGGUAUAGGAAAAUGAUUCACUUUACGGGUUUGUCCUCUGAUGUGUAUAAGGGAGUGCAUGUAUUUAAUGUGAAGGAGAG
ensembl:lncRNA